rnacentral:rRNA from 2 species
UACAGAGGGUGCGAGCGUUGUCCGGAAUCACUGGGCGUAAAGGGCGCGUAGGCGGCUCGAUAAGGUUGCGGUGAAAGCCCGGGGCUCAACCCCGGGUCGGCCGUGGCAACUGUCGAGCUGGAGCACUGUAGAGGCAGGUGGAAUUCCGGGUGUAGCGGUGGAAUGCGUAGAGAUCCGGAAGAACACCGGUGGCGAAGGCGGCCUGCUGGGCAGUGGCUGACGCUGAGGCGCGACAGCGUGGGGAGCAAACAGG